rnacentral:lncRNA from 1 species
GCGCACGGGCCCUGUGAGCGAUCGCGGUGUGCUCGGGCUGGUGACGCGUGCGCCGGCCGGCCGCCGAGGGGCUACCGUUCUGCCUCCGACCGGUCGUGUGUGGGUUUACUCGGAGAAAUACUAGGCUUUAGAAUUUCACCUUAUGAAUUUUGGGAGAGAGGAGCACAGUUCAGCCCAUAACUAACACACGUGAUGAAGAAGACAUGCCAACAGAGGGUUAAUUCCAGAUAAAAUGAAAUGUUCCAAACAACGGAAUGAAGUUGAUAAUAGUGAGACCUUGUUGGUACAAGACUCUGUAACAUAACCUGCGCUUCUCAACAAAGAAUUGCUUUUCUGACUUCUGCACUCAAUAGCAAGACAAAUCUCUCCUCUGUCUUUUUCUUAUCAGACUACUCAACAUGAAGGCAAUAAGAAUGAAGACCUUUAUGUAUAAUAAUUGACUUCCACUUAAUAAAUAAGGUUACUUGGUACACUGGUCGACAAAAC